rnacentral:misc_RNA from 1 species
CUUGGCGCUCCUUGGACUGAUACUGUGGUGAUGGAUUUCCUUGAAUAUUUGGAGGGAGUUGCAUCUAAAUCCGCUGCUUCUGGUUUUCAAGCAGAAAGUGGGCAAAUUUCUCUUGAGGGCGUGCAUCACGUGGAGGAAGUAUGAUUAGCAAAUAGUGAAAGACAAAUGUUGAUAUUGCUUGUACUUAAUGGCCAUGCGAUCACAUUCCCAUUCAUUAUCCAUUAUUUUAAUAUCAUCUGAUUCUUUCACCUGUGGCAUUGUUUGAACUUA